rnacentral:rRNA from 1 species
CACGUGACUAACCUACCCUCGAGUGGGGAAUAACCUAGAGAAAUCUGGGCUAAUACCGCAUAACACUUACGAGUCAAAGCAGCAAUGCGCUUGAGGAGGGGGUCGCGGCAGAUUAGCUAGUUGGUGAGGUAAUGGCUCACCAAGGCGAUGAUCUGUAUCCGGCCUGAGAGGGCGCACGGACACACUGGAACUGAAACACGGUCCAGACUCCUACGGGAGGCAGCAGUGGGGAAUUUUGCGCAAUGGGGGAAACCCUGACGCAGCAACGCCGCGUGGAGGAUGAAAUCCCUUGGGAUGUAA